CAAAGAUUUAACCAUAGCAUAGUCUAAGUAUAAACAAUUCUAUACUGUGAAACUGCGAAUGGCUCAUUAAAUCAGUUAUAGUUUAUUUGAUAAUAUCUACUACUCGGAUAACCGUGGUAAUUCUAGAGCUAAUACGUGCGUAAAAACCCGACUUACGAAGGGUUGUAUUUAUUAGAUACAAAACCAAUGCAGGGUAACUUGGUUUUUUGGUGAUUCAUAAUAACUUCUCGGAUCGCAUGGCUCACGCCGGCGACGUUUCAUUCAAAUUUCUGCCCUAUCAACUUUCGAUGGUAAGGUAUUGGCUUACCAUGGUUACAACGGGUAACGGAGAAUUAGGGUUCGAUUCCGGAGAGGGAGCCUGAGAAACGGCUACCACUUCCAAGGAAGGCAGCAGGUGCGCAAAUUACCCAAUCCUGACACAGGGAGGUAGUGACAAAAAAUAACAAUACAGGACUUUUAAAGCCUUGUAAUUGGAAUGAGUACAAUUUAAACCCCUUAACGAGUAACAAUU
rnacentral:rRNA from 1 species